rnacentral:rRNA from 1 species
GGGCGAAAGCCUGAAGCAGCAACGCCGCGUGUGCGAUGAAGGCCUUCGGGUCGUAAAGCACUUUUCUGAGAGAUGAGAAAGGACAGUAUCUCAGGAAUAAGUCUCGGCUAACUACGUGCCAGCAGCCGCGGUAAAACGUAGGAGGCAAGCGUUAUCCGGAUUCACUGGGCGUAAAGCGCGUGCAGGCGGUUCGGUAAGUUGGGCGUGAAAUCUCCUGGCUUAACUAGGAGAGGUCGUCCAAUACUACCGGGCUAGAGAGUGGUAGAGGAAGAUGGAAUUCCCGGUGUAGUGGUGAAAUGCGUAGAUAUCGGGAGGAACACCAGUGGCGAAAGCGAUCUUCUGGACCAUUUCUGACGCUCAGACGCGAAGGCUAGGGUAGUAAACGGGAUUAGAGACCCCGGUAAUCCACGCUGUAAACGUUGGGCGCUAGGUGUGGGGUCCUUCCACGGAUUCCGUGCCGUAGCUAACGCAUUAAGCGCCCGCCUGGGGAGUACGGCCGCAAGGCUA